AGCAAUCUGUCCCUGUGUGGGGGGCAACCCGGGGAAACUCGGGCUAAUACCGCAUAGGCAGGCACUUCUUCUGAAGAGCCUGGGAAAGAGGCCCUCUUUACAAUGGUCUCAUGCAGGGAGGAGCUCGCGGGCUAUCAGCUAGUUGGUAGUGGUAACGGCCUACCAAGGCGACGACGGCUACGGGGUCUGAGAGGACGACCCCGCACAUUGGAACUGAGACACGGUCCAG
rnacentral:rRNA from 1 species